CCCCUUUGUCACUGUGUGUCCUGUGUGUGGCCCCUUUGCUUUGUGCUACUGCUUCCAUGAUUCUUUUUGUAUUGGGGCUAAAAGGCUGUUAGUUUAUUCCACAAGUUUUUAUUAUAACGAUUAUAUGCAUUCUUACUAAUUAUAUUGUGUUUCCUUUGUUCCUUUUUCCACAAGUGGAGCCAAAAAAUUCACUCCACCUCCACUGCAAGGGGUCAUGGUCCUUUUUUGUGAGUAAGUAUAUGAAGCUCAUGUUUGCUGGCUAGGAAUAUCCUUCGACUACUAAUGCCAGUUUCAGUUUUCCACCCUACUUUGAUUGGCACUGGAAUGAGUAGCUCUCUGAUACUCAGUACUCGUUGUCAAGCACUGGGUCUCAUGAUAGCACAAAAAAGGCUCCAUCUACACGGAUCUCCUUUACAGCAGGUCAAAAUUUCCAGGUGUUAAACUUUUUAGGUUUGUGUCAAAAAUUUUAGAUGUGUUUUUUUGCUUGUUAUCAGCCCAAAAAAUAUACCUCUAAAUGUUUGCUUUUCAAGAUAUUUUUUUCUUAUUAUCAGCCAGAAAUUGUACAUGUAAAUGUUUUUUUUCUUGUUAUCAACCCAGAAAUUGUCCCUGUAAAUGUAUUUUCAUAUGUAAUUGUACCCAGAAAUGAUUUUUUGUUUGUUAUCAGCC